AGAGUUUGAUCCUGGCUCAGGAUGAACGCUAGCGGCAGGCUUAAUACAUGCAAGUCGUGGGGCAGCACAGGUAGCAAUACUGGGUGGCGACCGGCAAACGGGUGCGGAACACGUACGCAACCUUCCUUCAAGUGGGGGAUAGCCCAGGGAAACUUGGAUUAAUACCCCGUAACAUUAUGAGAUGGCAUCAUCUUAUAAUUAAAGCUACGGCGCUUGGAGAUGGGCGUGCGGCUGAUUAGGUAGUUGGCGGAGUAAUAGCCCACCAAGCCUUCGAUCAGUAACUGGUGUGAGAGCACGACCAGUCACACGGGCACUGAGACACGGGCCCGACUCCUACGGGAGGCAGCAGUAAGGAAUAUUGGUCAAUGGACGCAAGUCUGAACCAGCCAUGCCGCGUGGAGGAUGAAGGCCCUCUGGGUUGUAAA
rnacentral:rRNA from 1 species